GCGGUUGGCGCUAGAAGGAGUAGGCGUAGGGGUACCGGGGGUAGGGAAUGGGAGCGGUUGGCGCCAGGAGGAGUAGGCGUAGGGGUACCAGGGGUAGGGAAGAAGGGUAAAAGGGUCUUUGUUCAAUAGUAUUUAUGGACUUUAAUCCACUUUAGUCUAUGGAACCAAACAGGGGUGGGACUAAAGUUUAGUCCAUGGACUAAAGGAACCAUACGCCACCUAUAUACUUAGAGGAAGCAUUGCAGUUGUUAAAGAGAAUUGAACUAGAUUAAGCAAAGUUAACCAAGCUCAGCUGACACCGAAAAUAGCACAUACCCUCAGCUUUGCUGCAUUAGUUGUGGAUUAUUAUGCCAGAUUUAAGCUGUGACUUAGUACAUGAGAUUGAACAGAUGGAUGGCAGGACGAAGGAGAACAAUGAUGAAGAAACUAACAGCUAGCGUGUUUAAUUUGUUUGGGACUCCAAAGUAGGUAAAAAGGGAUCUCAAGUGCAACUGGCUUCCUCACUUCCUCCUUGUUGAGUCAAUAAUAAUAAAUAAAAUUGUUUUUCAACCUUGGUUAAUAUCAAUUCA
rnacentral:lncRNA from 1 species